UACGUAGGGUGCAAGCGUUGUCCGGAAUUAUUGGGCGUAAAGAGCUCGUAGGCGGUUCGUCGCGUCGGCUGUGAAAUCCCGAGGCUCAACCUCGGGUCUGCAGUCGAUACGGGCGGACUGGAGCUCGGCAGGGGAGACUGGAAUUCCUGGUGUAGCGGUGAAAUGCGCAGAUAUCAGGAGGAACACCGGUGGCGAAGGCGGGUCUCUGGGCCGAUACUGACGCUGAGGAGCGAAAGCGUGGGGAGCGAACAGG
rnacentral:rRNA from 1 species